UACGAAGGGGGCUAGCGUUGCUCGGAUUGACUGGGCGUAAAGGGCGCGUAGGCGGUUCGUACAGUCAGACGUGAAAUCCCUGGGCUCAACCCAGGAACUGCGUCCAAGACUGGGAGGCUUGAAUCCGGGAGAGGGAUGCGGAAUUCCAGGUGUAGCGGUGAAAUGCGUAGAUAUCUGGAGGAACACCGGUGGCGAAGGCGGCAUCCUGGACCGGUAUUGACACUGAGGCGCGAAAGCCAGGGGAGCAAACGGG
rnacentral:rRNA from 1 species